rnacentral:rRNA from 1 species
UACGUAGGGGGCAAGCGUUGUCCGGAUUUAUUGGGCGUAAAGAGCGUGUAGGCGGCCAGACAGGUCCGUUGUGAAAACUCGAGGCUCAACCUCGAGAUGUCGAUGGAAACCGUCUGGCUAGAGUCCGGAAGAGGAGUGUGGAAUUCCUGGUGUAGCGGUGAAAUGCGCAGAUAUCGGGAAGAACACCUAUGGCGAAGGCAGCUCGCUGGGACGUUACUGACGCUGAGACGCGAAAGCGUGGGGAGCAAACAGG